ACUCCUACGGGAGGCAGCAGUGGGGAAUUUUGGACAAUGGGCGAAAGCCUGAUCCAGCCAUGCCGCGUGCAGGAUGAAGGCCUUCGGGUUGUAAACUGCUUUUGUACGGAACGAAACGGCCUUUUCUAAUAAAGAGGGCUAAUGACGGUACCGUAAGAAUAAGCACCGGCUAACUACGUGCCAGCAGCCGCGGUAAUACGUAGGGUGCAAGCGUUAAUCGGAAUUACUGGGCGUAAAGCGUGCGCAGGCGGUUAUGUAAGACAGUUGUGAAAUCCCCGGGCUCAACCUGGGAACUGCAUCUGUGACUGCAUAGCUAGAGUACGGUAGAGGGGGAUGGAAUUCCGCGUGUAGCAGUGAAAUGCGUAGAUAUGCGGAGGAACACCGAUGGCGAAGGCAAUCCCCUGGACCUGUACUGACGCUCAUGCACGAAAGCGUGGGGAGCAAACAGGAUUAGAUACCCCUGUAGUCCC
rnacentral:rRNA from 1 species